CAUGAUCCAACAACCUAUAGCAUUUAGCUAUAGCUAACUAUAUUAUCAUUAUGUAUCACACGCAUUCUGUCAAACAGGAGAUGCGCACCUCGACAUGGACCUUGAUCUCCAUUGCGCGCUUAGCAUCUCAACGAGCUACUGAUUGUUUAUGCAUAUAGAGAGAAUAAUGGAGACUCACGACAUGGUGGCGAUUGCGGCGGGAGCGUCGGGUUCGUGCAUCUGAUGCACCAAGUGUUUUGUUGGCUGGAUUUUUCUGGAGCCCAUGCCGCCAUAGACCGAUGGAGACACUGCCGACAUGCUUACUUAUAUAAGGAGAGAGGGAGGCAUGGAUGUACCAUCACAACUCGGUGCAAACGUCGCAUGGCGGCUUGGUGCAAAGCGGCGCUCUUCCUGCUCCUGUGUGUUGGUUUCCUGCGCACGGAUGAAGCACGGCCCUAUCAUCGCGGCGGCGAGCGUUGGGAUGAGAACAUCAAAGCAAGUGCGAUCGAAUGCCACAGCUUAGCUUGGAAGCUCGAGUGGAGGGGGAGGGUUUUGAUAGUCGGUGACAGGAAGAGAGAAGUCCCGGGAGGACCAGAUCCCCAGCACCAUUAUUAGCCCCACUACGGCCAUUGCCGACGACGCCUUCAUCUGCGUGUUCUUCCCUUCUUUCUCCUUCUCUUUGGCUUAUUUCUUCUUCAUAGUUGUCUUGACGUUCAUGCAUCGACUUUUUACUUUCCUUUGCCAGUUAUUUAUAACGAUCUCGAGAUUUGUUGGAGUCGAUGAUGAUGCAUUCUGAAGGAAGAACAAACACCAUAGAAUCUAAUUAAAUGCCUCUCUUUUACGAUGAUGAAUCAUUCAUCUUACGGCUACACAACAAUACAACUUACGGCUGAAUCAUUCAAAAAGAAGCACUAAGGAGUGAAGCGAAUCAAAUUGCCUUAAAAUACGCUGCACCGAAAGACAACUCACAGUUCAUUAGUCUAUAAAGCAGUCACAAACCGUUGCAUUAGGCUCUAACACCUCCGCAUAAAAAAAGGCACAUAUCCUGCAAGCUAGUGGAUGUCUCAGAAUAAAGCAAUGGGAUUGAAUAGCAGCAUAACGGAUGAUGCCAGGAAGCUGGUGUUGGAUCCAGAAGAUCGAACGGGGUUAAAUUCUAUGUUACUAAGCACGACAGUGAUGGCGCACGAGGACAACAAACAUAUGAACUUUAUGAAGCUGGAAAUGUUUGAUAUUAUAUCUCGAGUUGAUUACCAUAAGGCCUUUUGUGCAGAUGGACUUUAUAGAAGAUGUAUUAUUUUUAUUUUGAUGCAAAGGAGGACUACUUUGACAGA
rnacentral:lncRNA from 1 species